rnacentral:rRNA from 1 species
CUCUCCCCUCUCUUCUCUUCCCUUUUUUUCUUUUCCCCCUCUCUUCUUUUUCUCUCUUCUUUCCUUUUUUUUUUCUCUCUUCCUCUCUCCUUCCCCUCUUUUCCCUUUUUAUUUUCUUAUUUUUCUUUUUUCUCUUCGUUGAGUGACUCGGAGCGCCGUCAGGUUUACUUUGAAAAAAUUAGAGUGCUCAAAGCAGGCUUUUCACGCUUGAAUAUUCGUGCAUGGAAUAAUGGAAUAGGAACUCGUUUCUAUUUUGUUGGUUUUCGGAAAUCGAGUUAAUGAUUAACAGGGACAAUUGGGGGCAUUAGUAUUCAGACGACAGAGGUGAAAUUCUUGGACCGUCUGAAGACUGACUACUGCGAAAGCAUUUGCCAAGAGUGUUUUCA